CUGCUACUCUCUCCGUUCGGAAUUACUUGUCGCAGAAAUGGAUGUAUCUAGACAUAUUUUAGUUCUAGAUACAUCCAUAUUCGAGACAACUAAUUUCGAACGGAGGGAGUAGGUC
rfam:Triticum aestivum genome assembly, contig: Triticum_aestivum_CS42_TGACv1_scaffold_212061_3AS